CAACGUCAUUUUGUUAAAUUAAAAAAAAAAGAGAGCGCGUUCCCUCACUUCCCCCAACCCCUUUCUUUGUCCAAUAACCAAUACGGAAAGAAAAGCAAAGCUGAAAAGUGAAAACCCUAGCAGCCUAGCUUGCUUCCACAGUUCCACCACCGUCGAACGACUGUCGCCGUCCGUGGUUAUCCGCAGCUUCUCUGUUCAUCCUGUCCCCAGCCCCCUAUUCGCUCUGUUUUGUCUCGGCUCGGCAUCCAUCCUCCAUCUAACCAUGGCUUCUCUGUUUGUGCUGCUCACCGUCGUCUCAUCGCCUCCGUGAUACUCUCUAUCAUCUCAUUGUCGUCCUGCUCUCCGUCGCGCUCAACCCCUGUCGAAGGGAGUGCCUCAAGGUCUGUUAUGCAAAGUACAUUAUCUAAAGGAAGUAUUUCUCCUUCCAGCUCUUACUAAGGGAGACAUGAAAAUAAUUGGGGGCCUUGUAUGCUUGUUGUAAAAAAUUGGGCAGGCUGUAAGUAAUGGAUAGUAAUUUCACAAAUUUGUGUUCCCUUGGAUUCCUCAAUGCUUGUUACAGAUACCUUCUUUUAGUUUUCUUUUGGAAUUACACCGAUAAAACAACUAUACACUAACCGUGAUAAUUUAUUAACUUUCUAUUUACUAUUAUGAGAGUAGCUGAGUUGCUUGUGGUUGUUCACGUUUAUAGAUUUUUUCUAACAUUUUAUACUCAUGCAUGUCUCAUUUAACUUGUCAUCUUUGUCAAAUGUAUGCUAGGCUCCGUCCUUUAUAGUAGAAGCAAGUCCAGAAGCCUUUGCAUUGGCAGAUGCACUCUUGAGGUGAAUUGCAAUAAUUUAUUUAGAAUUAUUUAUUGCUAUAGUCCUUUCCAAUCAUUUGGUUGCCAAAUAAUCAAAGAGUUUUAUUUGUUUUUUAAUGAGCUUCCAGUCAAUGAAAUUAUUGAAUGUGACCUUUAUGUUGUAUUGCGCAUAAGAUGCUUUUCCAUUAAAAUCUAGCCAUAUAUAACGGUCAUAAAUAUUUUGUAACAAUUGUAAUUGGAAACUUUCAUAGGUACUUUCUCAUGUUUUUAGAUUGGGAGAUUGCAGACUCAACACUGUAGUUUUGGUAAUGCCAUUUUUGGCAAGCUUCUAAUUUGUUUAUGUAGUACCUGUCUUUACUUGCCAAUUGUUGUACAUAUGAAUGUGUGAUGUAUAUUGAUUGUCUCUCUGUUCUCUCUUAUUGACUGUGGUAGAGUUGCUCGCCUAUGUUUAUUCACUAAAGUAUUUGUAUUUUAAUAAGAUCAUAUGGCUUUGGUUGAUGA